CCUCUAAAGAGACACAUGGAUAUAGGCUUGUCAUUGAAUCAGCAUUAAAUGAAUACCAGAUUAGAAAGGUCAUUUCCAUCAGCAUCAUUCAAACCAGUCACAAUAGCUUUACUUUAGUACAGUCAAAAAUAGAAUAGGCAUAGGAGGGAUAAUCACUUCCUCAAGCAUUCAGUGAUUCAGCAAAUACGGAAGCCACUUCACAAGCUGGGCCAAGCCCAGAGUUUGUAAGCAGUCUGUUUAUAUAAGUGUCUGGGCAUUAUUUGAAUAAUAAAUAAUAAUAAAUUGCCUGUGGUAUCAGUAAUCAUUUCUGGAAGAAGAGGCCACUCAGAUGCCAGUCUUCUUAGUCAGAGAACAGUUUUGCAGCUUCUAGGUUCUGCUGAUGUAACAGAGGAACACAGUGCCGUCGCAAGCAAGGAGCGAGCGGAGCAACUGCACCAGGCACCAAAGCGAAGUCUGCUGACGGAAGUCCUGGAAGAGCUAAGCUACAGGGAGGAGCAGGAGCAGGAGACUUCAAACAGCAGCAGCUGUCUACAGGGACCUGCUUCCAGCAGAGUGAAAUAUGCCCCACACAUGUCAAAAGACUGUGUAGUGGGAGGGACAAAUUCUGCAUCCCCCUUCAAAGAAUAUGCCAGGCCUUAUGGAAGAGGAGGAAAGGGAAUUAGGGUUAUUUAUACCAGCUGAAAAUCUGGUACCUUCCAUGUCUAUCAUCAGCUGUCAAUGAAAUCCUAAGGUGUAAAGGUUUGAAAAAAAGAGAAAAGCUUUUCUAAGGAGAACAGGAAGCUACCAUUGUGUGAGACCAACCCAGGGAACACAGUGCUCUCCUAGUGGCCACUGCAAACAGAGAUGCCAAUCCACAUGUUUUUCCUUCCCUUGAACUGCUGUCAGGAAGAGAGAUGAAAGAAGACUGAAUUGCAAUAGCUUCUCCUUUGUGUGUGUAGUAAAUGGAGAGCUAUGUGUGCAAAGGAAAGGAUUCCUCUAUUCAGAGAAGGGCUGCCGAGAUUAUCAUCAGUAUCAUUUAUUCUUUGCAAAGCUAACGUAAUGUCUUCAAGAAGUCUUCUACCCUAGCCCGUGACUGAAAUAUUUUGUUAGGACAUUCUAUGUCCUCACAUGCAACAGUAAAUCAUCUUAUACUACUAAGCCUGUCUUCAAAUCAAUAUCACUUAAAAGACUAAUGGGUGCGCAGGACCUCUUAGGAUCAAGUCCAAAAUGAAGACUAUGGUUGGGACUUUUCACCAACCAUAGAAUUGGUUCAAUAAAGAAUAUCACCCACAAUAAUCCUUGUCCCUG
rnacentral:lncRNA from 1 species